rnacentral:rRNA from 1 species
GACGAACCGACCGAACGUUAUUCGGAAUUACUGGGCUUAAAGGGUGCGUAGGCGGCCUUGUAAGUCAGAUGUGAAAUCCCACGGCUCAACCGUGGAACUGCGUUUGAAACUACAAGGCUUGAGGGAGAUAGGGGUGAGCGGAACUGAUGGUGGAGCGGUGAAAUGCGUUGAUAUCAUCAGGAACACCGGUGGCGAAGGCGGCUCACUGGGUCUCUUCUGACGCUGAGGCACGAAAGCUAGGGGAGCGAACGGG